rnacentral:rRNA from 1 species
GACGAACGCUGGCGGCGUGCCUAAUACAUGCAAGUAGAACGCUGAAGGAGGAGCUUGCUUCUCUGGAUGAGUUGCGAACGGGUGAGUAACGCGUAGGUAACCUGCCUGGUAGCGGGGGAUAACUAUUGGAAACGAUAGCUAAUACCGCAUAAUAGUAGAUGUUGCAUGACAUUUGCUUAAAAGGUGCAAUUGCAUCACUACCAGAUGGACCUGCGUUGUAUUAGCUAGUUGGUGAGGUAACGGCUCACCAAGGCGACGAUACAUAGCCGACCUGAGAGGGUGAUCGGCCACACCGGGACUGAGACACGGCCCAGACUCCUACGGGAGGCAGCAGUAGGGAAUCUUCGGCAAUGGACGGAAGUCUGACCGAGCAACGCCGCGUGAGUGAAGAAGGUUUUCGGAUCGUAAAGCUCUGUUGUAAGAGAAGAACGAGUGUGAGAGUGGAAAGUUCACACUGUGACGGUAUCUUACCAGAAAGGGACGGCUAACUACGUG